GACGCACGCUGGCGGCGUGCUUAACAAAUGCAAGUCGAGCGGAGCGGCGAACGGGUGAGUAACGGGUGAGUAACUGCCCCCCUCUCUGGGAUAACAGUUGGAAACGGCUGCGAAUACCGGAUAGUGGGGGAUGAAUCGCGUCCUCUCAGCUUGUUGGUGGGGUAGUGGCCUACCAAGGCGAGGACGGGUAGCCGGCCUGAGAGGGCGACCGGCCACAUUGGGAUGAGCUACGUCCCAAACUCCUACGGGAGGCAGCAGUGGGGAAUAUUGCACACUGGUGGAAACCCUGAUGCAGCAACGCCGCGUGCGGGAUGACGGCCUGCGGGUUGUAAACCGCUUUCAGCCAUUACGCGGUAGUGGCAGAAGAAGCACCGGCUAACUACGUGCCAGCAGCCGCGGUAAUUC
rnacentral:rRNA from 1 species